rnacentral:rRNA from 1 species
CAUUAAUGAAUUUAGGGAAUUGAUGCUGGCCUUUGUGCAUGUGCUCGUUCCCUCUAAUCCAUACACACCUGUGCACUUGUUUAUCGGAGUCGCUAGUAAAAUAGAGACUCUGGUUUAAUCACAUACUCUUAUAAUUUACUUUGAAUGUUUAUCAAGUCGAAAGACUUUUAAAUUAAUACAACUUUUAACAACGGAUCUCUUGGCUCUCGCAUCGAUGAAGAACGCAGCGAAAUGCGAUAAGUAAUGUGAAUUGCAGAAUUCAGUGAAUCAUCGAAUCUUUGAACGCACCUUGCGCUCCUUGGUAUUCCGAGGAGCACGCCUGUUCGAGUGUCAUGAAGCUCUCAAGCGAUAAUAACUUUAUUGUUGUUAUUUAGCUUGGAUUUGGGACUUGCUGUGUUACAACGGCUGUCCCUAAAUGUAUUAGCCGGCUCUAAUGGAAGACUAGGUUCUUACUCGGUGUGAUAAUUAUCUUACGCUGAGGACAUUUCUCUUGUAAAAGGGAGAGAUGGCCAAGGCUACUUUUAGGCUGCUUCUAAUCGUCUCUUCUGACAAACAAAUUAUUCAAAUCUGACCUCGAAUCAGGUGGGACUACCC